GACAUAGGUGGCGAACGUUAUCCGGAAUUAUUGGGCGUAAAGGAUGCGUAGAUGGUAGAAUAAGUUAUUGGUCGAUGCCAAACUCAAUUUGGCGGAAGCUGGUAAUACUGUUCAGCUAGAGGGCAGGAGAGGUUGAUGGAAUUCUGUGUGGAGCGGUGAAAUGCGUUGAUCUGCAGAGGAACACCAAAAAAGCGAAGGCAGUCAACUAUUCUGUUCCUGACAUUGAG
rnacentral:rRNA from 1 species